CGCGGGGUGGAGCAGUUUGGUAGCUCGUCGGGCUCAUAACCCGAAGGCCGUAGGUUCGAAUCCUGCCCCCGCAACCA
rnacentral:tRNA from 3 species